AUGUUACAACACGAUCCAACAUCCCCUGAUGAUACUCAAGUUUCUUAUAAAACUUGGAAAUAUGCAUACAAAGGUCCACUUAGCAUGAAUGAGCAUGAUCAAAUUGAGAAUCAAACAGAAAUAUCCGUCAAGCAUAUCAGGUCAAGGAAGGUAGAAAACUUGUUACGUAAGGUUUGGAAGUUGGAACCAAUCAAGAAUUGCAUCGCCUGGAUGCAUGAGGCAAUUCCAUGGUGUGAGGACACCGCGUUUGAAGACACGCUGAAGAGGCCAUCCACCGGCCUUGAAGAGCUGGACACGAUCAUUGUGUUCAAAAUCUUCUAUGGAGUAUUCAGAGAAGGAACCCGCCUUGCAAUGCCGAAGACAAUCUGCGCGCCGGACUCAUUGUCAUUGAAGCUUGGUUCAGGUGCUAAUGAGGGAGUCCUGGAUUAG
rnacentral:rRNA from 1 species